rnacentral:rRNA from 1 species
ACUCCUACGGGAGGCAGCAGUGGGGAAUAUUGCACAAUGGGCGCAAGCCUGAUGCAGCCAUGCCGCGUGUAUGAAGAAGGCCUUCGGGUUGUAAAGUACUUUCAGCAGUGAGGAAGGCGGGUACGUUAAUAGCGUGCUCGUUUGACGUUAGCUGCAGAAGAAGCACCGGCUAACUCCGUGCCAGCAGCCGCGGUAAUACGGAGGGUGCGAGCGUUAAUCGGAAUUACUGGGCGUAAAGCGCAUGCAGGUGGUUUGUUAAGUCAGAUGUGAAAGCCCGGGGCUCAACCUCGGAAUUGCAUUUGAAACUGGCAGACUAGAGUACUGUAGAGGGGGGUAGAAUUUCAGGUGUAGCGGUGAAAUGCGUAGAGAUCUGAAGGAAUACCGGUGGCGAAGGCGGCCCCCUGGACAGAUACUGACACUCAGAUGCGAAAGCGUGGGGAGCAAACAGGAUUAGAUACCCUGGUAGGAUAGCG